rnacentral:lncRNA from 1 species
CUGCACUGUGCCCUUCAAAUUCACUGAUACUGGAGCUCAUAGAGGGGAUCACAAACUGCUCUGCUUGGUGACAAAUGUACCCCUGAAUGACCAAACCUGACUGCUGGUUAUUCUUCCUGACAAAUUCUUCCAAGCCAUUGGGAAUUACCACCAGGAUGCUUCCUGGACACUCCAGGGACCAGUUUGGCUGGAAUUUCUCUUGUGUUUUGCACAGCACAUGCAGAGCCAGGAAUGGAUCCACACACAUACACACUGUACGAGGGAAAGCUGAAGCUGUAUGUUCUGGAUUUUCUCCUGAACAAGGAAGGAAAACUCCCAGCUUGCUAUGAAAUAUGUUCCCACUGAAGCAAAGUUGAGCACCACAAUGUUGGGGGAAGAGAAAAGCUUCAACAAGAAGAGAGCCCUGAGGUCAAACUGAAGAGAAUAUUCAACCACCCUCCUAGCAGAGCAUUGUCUGAACAUGCCCAGUGCUAUAUAGCAUUUAACACACUCUAUAUUCCAAAAGAAUACCCUGAAGCUGAAGUCUAUGCAUUCAAAUGUAUGCUGCAUGUUUCAUCUUUCAGGGUUUUGAAGAUCACCAACAUUAGCUUAUACAUUAACUGUACUUCAGUAAUGAAUUUAGGCAGAGCUAAUCAGGCCAUUCUGCAGUAAGCUUGGCCUUUAAAAUCCCAAAGUGUGCCAGUCUAAUUUUGGCAGUCAAUUUUCCUCUUUAGUGCAUUUUUACAAUUUCUAUUCAAACCAGCUCUCCAGAUAUACAAGUUCCCCAAAUGCUGGUUCCAGUGUAAAUUAUCAGCCUUUCCACAUUUAGGCACUGGAGAUCAAGCUUUGCAAAACAGGCCUACAUAAAAGAAAGAGAAAUAAAACUCUAGGAGUUGCAGAAAAUAAACA